rnacentral:rRNA from 1 species
AGCAGCCGCGGUAAUUCCAGCUCCAAUAGCGUAUAUUAAAGUUGUUGCAGUUAAAAAGCUCGUAGUUGAAUUUCGGGGUUAGUAGGUUGGUCAUGCCUCUGGUAUGUACUGGUCUCACUGAUUCCUCCUUCCUGAUGAACCGUAAUGCCAUUAAUUUGGUGUUGCGGGGAAUUUGGACUGUUACUUUGAAAAAAUUAGAGUGUUUAAAGCAAGCUAACGCUUGAAUACAUUAGCAUGGAAUAAUGAAAUAGGACGUUCGAUCCUAUUUUGUUGAUUUCUAGGAUUGACGUAAUGAUUAAUAGGGAUAGUUGGGGGCAUUAGUAUUCAAUUGUCAGAGGUGAAAUUCUUGGAUUUAUUGAAGACUAACUACUGCGAAAGCAUUUGCCAAGGAUGUUUUCAUUAAUCAAGAACGAAAGUUAGGGGAUCGAAGACGAUCAGAUACCGUCGUAG